GAGAAAAACAAACAUGGCGGCCAUGAGCUGGCUUUCUGUGGUUGGUAAAGCUGUGCUGAGAUCUGGGCUGACUAUUGCAGCUGAAAAUGCAUGCCAAGUCUGCAGACACAGAGGAAUAACUUUUCCCCGCAGGUGGAGCUUGUCUAAGCAAGGAGAGAUUUGAGGUUCUGUUUGGUAAUGGAAGAUGGAGAGAGGAAAAGCUGUGCAUAGCCAGCGCAUCCCAUCUGCACCGUUGUUCCCAUGCACAAAGGAGAGGAGCAUCUCAGCAAGCAUGGCCUGGGCCAUGGAAGGGAGCAUACAGACAUCUGGACCAACCCGAAAGGAGUUAGUUCUGCAGGAAUGUCCCAGAGCAUUGUGGUUUCAGCUGUCACAACGCUUUGAUCCCUUGCUUGCUGGGCUGGGGCGUUUGAGGAAUGAUGCAUGUGCUGAUGUGCAGCCAGGCACUAGGGAUGAGUCUGCUUAGCAAGGAGGGCAGGUGGUGAACCUCAUGAAGCAAUGCCUGCAGACGGGGCUUGCGGAGCAAGAGGU